rnacentral:rRNA from 1 species
GUCUUAUUGAAAUUGAUUUUAAGUCGAUCUGCCCAAUGAUUUUUUAGAUUAAAUGGCUGCAGUAUAAUUAACUGUACAAAGGUAGCAUAAUCAAUUGUUUUUUAAUUGAAAACUAGAAUGAAAGAAUUAAUGAGAUAUAUUCUGUCUCAUAUAUAUAAAAUAAAUUUAAAUUUUUAGUAAAAAUGCUUAAAUUAUUUUAUGGGACGAUAAGACCCUAUAGAAUUUUAUAUUUAUAUUUAAUUAAUAAUUUAAUUAUAAUAUAAAUAUUUAAUUGGGAGGAUUAGUAAAUUUAAUUAACUUUAUUUUUAAAAUAAACUUUGAUUUUAGAAUAUAAAUUUUGAUCUUUUACUAUAAAUUAAAAGAAUAAAUUACCUUAGGGAUAACAGCGUAAUAUCUUUUUAAAGAUCAUAUUAAUAAAGAUGUUUGCGACCUCGAUGUUGAAUUAAGAUAAAUUUUAAAUGAAGAAAUUUAAAUAUUAAGUCUGUUCGACUUUUAAAAUCUUACAUGAUUUGAGUUCAAAUCGACGUAAGU